AACACUACAUUGAGGAAAUGCUUUGUAGCUGACGGUACCUUAUCAGAAAGCGAUGGCUAACUAUGUGCCAGCAGCCGCGGUAAUACAUAGGUCGCAAGCGUUAUCCGGAAUUAUUGGGCGUAAAGCGUUCGUAGGCUGUUUAUUAAGUCUGGAGUCAAAUCCCAGGGCUCAACCCUGGCUCGCUUUGGAUACUGGUAAACUAGAGCUAGAUAGAGGUAAGCGGAAUUCCAUGUGAAGCGGUGAAAUGCGUAGAUAUAUGGAAGAACACCAAAGGCGAAGGCAGCUUACUGGGUCUAUACUGACGCUGAGGGACGAAAGCGUGGGGAGCAAACAGGAUUAGAUACCCUGGUAGUCCACGCCGUAAACGAUGAUCAUUAGUCGGUGGGUUAUUCACUGACGCAGCUAACGCAUUAAAUGAUCCGCCUGAGUAGUAUGCUCGCAAGAGUGAAACUUAAAGGAAUUGACGGGGACCCGCACAAGCGGUGGAGCAUGUGGUUUAAUUUGAAGAUACACGGAGAACCUUACCCACUCUUGACAUCUUCCGCAAAGCUAUAGAGAUAUAGUGGAGGUUAACGGAAUGACAGAUGGUGCAUGGUUGUCGUCAGCUCGUGUCGUGAGAUGUUUGGUCAAGUCCUGCAACGAGCGCAACCCCUAUCUUCAGUUACUAACGAGUUAUGUCGAGGACUCUGGAGAUACUGCCUGGGUAACUGGGAGGAAGGUGGGGAUGACGUCAAAUCAUCAUGCCUCUUACGAGUGGGGCAACACACGUGCUACAAUGGUCGGUACAAAGAGAAGCAAUAUGGCGACAUGGAGCAAAUCUCAAAAAGCCGAUCUCAGUUCGGAUUGAAGUCUGCAACUCGACUUCAUGAAGUCGGAAUCGCUAGUAAUCGCAGAUCAGCUAUGCUGCGGUGAAUACGUUCUCGGGUCUUGUACACACCGCCCGUCACACCAUGGGAGCUGGUAAUACCCAAAGUCGGUUUGCUAACCUCGGAGGCGACUG
rnacentral:rRNA from 1 species